UGCAGUCGACGGAGAUUAAGUAGCUUGCUAUUUAAUCUUAGUGGCGCACGGGUGAGUAAUAUAUAGCUAACUUGCCCAUUACUAAGGGACAACAGUUGGAAACGACUGCUAAUACCUUAUACUCCGUAUCUAUAUAAGUAGAUACGGGAAAGUUUUUCGGUAAUGGAUAGGGCUAUAUCGUAUCAGCUAGUUGGUAAGGUAACGGCUUACCAAGGCUAUGACGCGUAACUGGUCUGAGAGGAUGAUCAGUCACACUGGAACUGAGACACGGUCCAGACUCCUACGGGAGGCAGCAGUAGGGAAUAUUGCUCAAUGGGGGAAACCCUGAAGCAGCAACGCCGCGUGGAGGAUGACACUUUUCGGAGCGUAAACUCCUUUUCUUGGGAAAGAAUUAUGACGGUACCCAAGGAAUAAGCACCGGCUAACUCCGUGCCAGCAGCCGCGGUAAUACGGAGGGUGCAAGCGUUACUCGGAAUCACUGGGCGUAAAGGACGCGUAGGCGGAUUAUCAAGUCUCUUGUGAAAUCUAACGGCUUAACCGUUAAACUGCUUGGGAAACUGAUAAUCUAGAGUAAGGGAGAGGCAGAUGGAAUUCUUGGUGUAGGGGUAAAAUCCGUAGAGAUCAAGAAGAAUACCCAUUGCGAAAGCGAUCUGCUGGAACUUAACUGACGCUAAUGCGUGAAAGCGUGGGGAGCAAACAGGAUUAGAUACCCUGGUAGUCCACGCCCUAAACGAUGUAUACUAGUUGUUGCUUCGCUAGUCGAGGCAGUAAUGCACCUAACGGAUUAAGUAUACCGCCUGGGGAGUACGGUCGC
rnacentral:rRNA from 1 species